GGGUCUCGCUCGUUACCUGACUUAACAGGAUGCUUCACAGUACGAACUGACGACGGCCAUGCACCACCUCUCAGCUAAUCCGGCAAAGUCUUCAGCCUGGCCUUCAUAUUGCUGUCGGUCCCGGUAAGAUUUCCGGCGUUGAAUCCAAUUAAACCGCAAGCUCCACCCGUUGUGGUGCUCCCCCGCCAAUUCCUUUAAGUUUCAGCCUUGCGGCCGUACUUCCCAGGUGGCUCGCUUCACGGCUUCCCUACGGCACCGACAACGGUCGCACCGUGGCCGACACCUAGCGAGUAUCGUUUACGGCUAGGACUACCCGGGUAUCUAAUCCGGUUCGUGCCCCUAGCUUUCGUCCCUUGCCGUCAGGUCCGUUCUGGUGAGACGCCUUCGCCACUGGUGGUCCUUCAAGGAUUACAAGAUUUCACCCCUACCCCUGAAGUACCUCUCACCUCUCCCGGCCUCGAGCCAGACAGUAUCUCCUGAAAGCCUGACAGUUAAGCUGCCAGAUUUCUCAAGAGACUUAUCCGGCCGGCUACAGACCCUUUAGACCCAAUAAUAACGGUUACCACUCGAGCCGCCGGUGUUACCGCGGCGGCUGGCACCGGUCUUGCCCGGCCCUUGCUAUGAAAUGCUUUUUUAGGCAUCUCGACAGCCGGAUUUGUAACCUGGCACUCGAGGUUCCCUUAUCGCUGUUGCCAGCAUUGUA
rnacentral:rRNA from 1 species